CCUGCGGGGCAGUGUUAGUGGCGGCUGGGGAGCCGCUUCGAGGCCUGCCCUUUCUCACAGAGGGCGGGGGGUGCGCGUUUCUUCUGCUUGGCGCGGAGCUGGGCGAGCUGCGGGGCUUGCUUCGGCCCAAGCAGCGUGUGCCCGGUGUGAGAGUCGCCGUGUUGGAAGCCUCGCUGCUGAAUAAGGGUCCCCAGGCAGCCUCAGGCCACCCGCGUUUCGCUAGGCCAGGGGGAAGGUAGCUGGCCUAGGGCGGUAUUUUGAAUCAGGGCACCUCAUUUGCCUGCUGGCUCUUUAGAUGAGCCUGUUUAGGCUACGAGAAGGUUCCCUGAUUCUUCCAGUCGAGCAGGGAAUGUAACGUGGGUUAUACUUUCAGUCAAGCUGUACACGUGGUGAAAGGAUGGGAAGGACUAACAGGUGCCCCCUCGGUAUGAAAUGUGCCGUCAGUGAGCAGCAAGGACAGACCUGUCAGUGCCCUGUAAGAACCUCCUGUCUUUCCUGAAGCGGGACAGUGCCUCAGCUUGCUCACUUCCUGCCCUCUGCUGCUACGCUCCAAAGAAGCCAUCUCAGAAGAACCAGAGCGUGGCACCUGGCAUGUGAUUGCACAGCUGAAAAGGCAAGUCCUGGCUGUGCCCUGUUGUGUGACGUUCCUUAAAUCAGCUGCAGCAGGGCAAGAUGAGAACCGAAGCAUUAGUAGCACUCAGUGCAUUUGGCUGGGGAGUCCUGUAGCAGCAGGAACCUGUCCUGGAGACGCCCUUACCUACGUUCAGAAGGUAAGAAAAAAUGCAUAAUACCCUCUGUUAUUCGAGUUCCCUGCUCCGAGUGAUGUUGAAGAUAGAUUUGCAGACUGCUUUUAGUGCGUUCUGACAGAGGAGGGAGCUGUUAGCUCAGCAUUGACCUGCACAGCCCACCUGGGAUCUGGCUAAGUUGUCUGAGUGGCCCGCCUAAAUUGUGAAGCUUAACUUGGCAGGAGCUGGAUGAUACCCUGAAAGUGCUUAAAUCUUUUGCUUUAAGUGUCUCUAUGGGAUGUUUUGUGUCCCUACACAAGGAAAAUCACAAUAACUAGUCUGCAAGGACAGUGGGAGCAGCAGGUGUGAGAAGCUGUCUGGAAGUGGAGCAUUUUGUGAUGAGGUUGUGCACUCUUCAGUGCUGUAGCAAUGACCCCUUCUGUUGCACCAAGAGCCCCUGGAAAACUGCAGCCCGUGCAACACCUUCCUGCUAAAGACCAGAGUCAGAACACCCUCCUCUCUGCCCACAGGGUGCAAACAGUCCUUCUAUCUGGGAGACCUGCCAGAAAGAGGCAAGGAAAAAGCUAUGUUAAACUGGUCUAAGGUUGACUCAAGCUAAUGUGAACUGGUCUGAAGUGCAAUAAUGACCUGAUUUCAUCUGCCAUUUCUCCUGGUACAAUUUGUCAGCAGUCUUCCUGCCUCAGCUAGUAGCAGUGGGACAAAGAGUGGCAUAAUUGCAACCUUGGGAUGAAAAAUAAUGUCCUCAUUAGAUGUUGCUUUAUGACUGCAUCAGACAUCUCUUCAGCUGCUCAUGGUAGAGCUCCAAGUGGGCUGAGUCGUGCUGGUUUGGCAGAUACCUGGGUUGGUGGUGGUUUGAGCGUGCAGCUGGGCAGAAUGGGGCUCUGAGUCAGAAGCUCCUGGUGACGUUGCUAGAUUCAAUUUGCCACAAAAGUCUUUUUCUGCUUUACACUGGAGCUGUCUAUAUGCAGUCUUUCUGCCUUCAGAAAUGUGGCUCAGACCCAGUGCUUGCGAGUCAUUCAUUCAUUUGUUAGCUGCUGGAAAAAGGCAAGUAGGAAAAAGUGGUGGCAUUGUUACAUGUUUGUGGACUGGUCUUCUGACAGCAGUUAGUAAAGGCAGCCUGUCUUCUUACCCAGGAGAUCAUGUGUUAUUUCUCCAGCCACUGAGAUAAUUCCAGUGUCAGAUAAUUGUAGCAAGACCCUGAACAGAUGACAGUGUGCACUGUCGUGGCUCUAGAUGUGUUGUGUUGCUUUGUACCAAAGAAAGGUAGAUUACUUGGUUAGGGCUAAAUGAGAUAAUAGCAGAUGCUAUAUGGUGCUAUAUGUUAUGGCUAAAUAGAUUCCCCUUAGAGCCCCCCUCAGUCCUCCAAAUCCUGUUCAUCUUUCCCCAUGAUACUGCUGCUAGAAAGCAGCAGCUUUUCCUCCACCUCAGUCAAUGCACCAACUUCACCUUAGUACUAAUGACUCUGAGCUGUUCUGGACUAAUGGUAAACCUUAGGUGUCUGUACAGCAGUGACUGACUCACAUCAGCUCACUUGGUCACUUAUUCCAGGAAAAUAUCACUCAAAUUCACCAGAGAACUGUCCCUGACACACUGAAAUAUUUGUUGAUUCAAACUCCUAAAGAUGAUUUCUGGAAGUUUUCCUCUAAAACUGUUCAUACUGAAAUGUGAGGUUUGUAUAAAGAGCCUUGCUAGACUCUUCAGUUUGAGGAGGAUUUAACACUGACCAAUAGGAGCCUUUGUUCCAGGCACCAGACUAACAUUCCAGGCCAAUGCAGAGUUGUACAAAAACCUCCCUAAAAAAAUAAAAUCAAGGCAUAAACUUGGGACUUAAUUUUUCUGUUUCAAAAUGAUUUUUUUAAAGAGUAUUUUAGCUUCAGUAAUUCAGGAAAGGGCUCUAUCUAGCUGGAAGAGAUGUCUUUUCCUAGUGAGGGCCUUAAUACAAUCUUUUCAUGUUCUCCUUUUGGGUUUUUCUUGGAUGAGAGGCAAAAGGUGCAGGAGCAAAUGUUGGAGAGAAAUAAGACCUCCCCUGUCAUAUGGGGAGAGAAAAGGUUUUGCAGUUACAUGGGGGAAAAGCUUGCUUUUUAAGCCUCUGAGUUUUGGCACAAGUCUCUGUGGGAUGUGUGUCACUGGCCCUCCCCAGCCACUGCACAGUGUUGCAUUCACGAGAAUAGGAUCUUUGCUGGUACUGGAGUACACAGAAAAAUGCAGGGGAUGUGCUGGGGCCACACAGCAAACUGACUGUCUUCUGUGUGGUCAGUGCCUCUGAGUUGGCUGCUACCACUGUGUACCUCUAUCACUUCAAUAUGCUUUCUAAGGCCAGGGCUGCAGACCCUCCUGCUCUUUCAGAACUGCAGAGGGACUGUAGGGCUAGCUCAAAUGCGAUUAGGUUGACCCCUGAAUGGCAACAAGGACCUGGUAAAUUUCAGAGCCACCUUAGAAACCUCUAAAAUCUUGGGAAACUGAUUUACUUGUGAAAGCCAAGGCAAAAUGGGCAAUGUUGAGCCAGAACACCAUUUUGUUGUUUGGAGAUUCACCUCAGCUCAGUUUCUGACUUCACAGAUGACAGCAGCAGUUUCUGAAGAAGAACCUGGUCAGAAAAGUUGCCAAAUUUCAACAGAAGAUGCACAUUAGGGUUCACAAGCUUUCUGCUCAACUGGUCCUUAUGCUCAGGCUUUUUUGCAUUCAAGUGCCAACCUGUGAUGCAUUUGCCCACCAUUGCUCCUUUCUUUCCUCUGGGCUCUAUCUCAGUCCUUACUCUUUUCUAUCACUGUCUCAUGAGACAGCAAUUUUGAGCUGUGACUUGCACCCCAGGUAGAUUUUUUUUUUUCAGCAGUUCUAGUCUCUUUUUCUUUAGAUAUCUGCCUAGACUGGAAAGGCAAAAAUGAAACUGAGACAUAGUUUACCUUAGUCUAAAGUAGGAAUAGGUGCUUACAGAGAAUUUUGGCCUGGAGUGGCCUUUGUGACUGAACCAUAGCUUGCAUCUAUGGUCUACCUAAAACUUGCUGAGCUCAUGCAGCUAGAUGGAAAGUAGCUUGGUUUGUCUCACUGCUCUGUUACUGGUCUCACCCUGGAGGAGUGCAAGUAUCUUGCAUGGAAACAGGAAGGAAGCUCUGGAGGCCUGCCUGUGCAACUCUUCUAUCAGGGUCACCUAGAGCUGAUUCCCUAAGACUAUGGUCAGAUGACUUUUGAAUAUCACCAAGAAUAAGGAUUCCACAACCUGCCUGGGAAACCUGUGUCAGUGCUUGGUUACCCUCACAGCAAAAAAGCAUUUUUUGGUGUUCAGAGGGAACAUCCUGUCUUUCAGUUUUUGUGCAUGGCCCCUUGUCCUGUCACUAGGUAUUGCUGAAAAGAGCCUAGCUCCAUCUUCUUUACCCCCUUCUUCAUUCAUUUCAUAUGUUUGUAUUAAUAAGAUCUCCAGUUUGAACAGUCCCAGCUCUCUCAGCCCCGCCUCAUAGAACUGAUGCUUCAGUCCCUUGGUGACCUUAGUGGCUUUUCACUAGACUCUCUUCAUUAUAUCCACAUCUCUUGCACUGGUGAACAGAGUUAGAAUUAGAUCCAGCACUCCAGGUGUGGCCUCACCAGUGCUGAGUCAAAGAUUAAGGAUCACCUCCCUUGACCCACUGGCAAUGCAUUGCCUAGAACCAAUAGGGGACCAAUAUCAGCUGCAUCUGAAGGGGCCCAGGGUCCCCACUGAACAGCUGCUGCUUAAGGGGAAGCCAGAGAAACUGUGUGUGUGCUUUUAACCUCUGGAAAUGAAGGUACUGAGAUUGAGCCUGACCGAGCCAAAGAGGGAAGGAGGAUGAAGUUGUACUGUGUAGAGGACAGUGCAGUUCCUAGUGGUCACUGCAGGUCUAGUUCAGUGUGAGGGUUUCCCACACAUUAUCCUCUCUUCUGCAGCAGUAAUGAAAAGCGCAAUAAAAAGACAAGAAUGCUGCAAUGCUUUGUUGUGACGCUGUCUUCUGUCUCCUCCUCUGGGUAGGUGAUGAGGCUCUGCACUCCAAAUUCAGCUGUGAAUCAUACUUGGUAUGACAGCCAAAUAAACUGUACAAUUAAAAAUA